AGAGGUACAUUGUGGGGUAAAAUUAACGUAUUUUCCAGCAGUGUGGGGUUUUUUGGGUACUGUGGGGUUAACCCCAUAAUGAAGAGGUCUAAUUACGUUCAAAAUUACUCUAUGAGGUCGAAAAACCUAAAAUUAGAUUUAACCUCACAAAGACUUUGUCCAAAUUUUGGACAUGUCCUUAGCCCAAAACGCUCAGACAUUCAGAAAUCUGCUGUUUAGAGGAGUUCGGUAAUUGAAUCGAGGAGUUCCGAAUACCUGAGCAUGCGCAUAUAUUUAAAACUAACUGCGCAUGCGCAGAUUACGGAAGUAGCUGUGUUUGGACACUUUGUAUUAGCAGUGAGGAAAUUCGGAAACACAAAAAGCAAAUGCAGUAAGUCUUACUAUUUUGUUGCACCACAUUGAAAAAAAGCUUUGUAAAUUGUUUGACAUGCUUCAUACGUACAUUAUGCAGUUGUAGAAUUUAUUUAAAGUCAAGGAAAGGACAUCUGUAGUCCACAUAAACACAUACCUAUUGAAAACGGGCUUUUGUGAAAAAAAUUAUAAUGAAUGCACUGAUAGUUCUUUUUUUAAUCAGAGGUCUGCAAUGAAAAUCGACCGAUACCCGGGGGUCGGGCUAGUGGUUUUCUGCAUGAAGGUCGCCCCGUUGGCCAGUAAAAAAAGAUAAUAUUAUUUAUACACAUGCAAUACGUGCAAAGCACACCUGAGUUCAGAUACCACUGAAAGUGAACAUCAGUGGAACUUUGAUGAUCUAGGCCACUCUAUUGUUGCAGCAACACCAGCAGGCGUCGGACAUUCAUAAAGUUGAAAGAACAAACCUAUGACUUGAACACACAAUUUGUGAUCUGAAUAUAGUUCACAAAUUUAAGGAAAGCAACUAUUAAAGACAUCCAGAUCGGUGGUAUACAUGAAGUAUGAGUUAAAGACUUUUCAGAAGAACAAGCACAAUCCCGAUUCAUUUUUGCCAUUGCCUUCUCCAAACGGCGACAUUCAGGACCUGACUUACUUUUCAGAAAAAAGAAGAUGAAUCGAUUUUUGAAAGUUAAUCUAAAAAGAAAACAUUUACAUGGGUCGUGGAUUUGAAUUACAUUUUCUUGAUGGGCAACUAGUUUCAAGUAUUUGGAUGUCUAUUCUCAAGUUACUGCAAACCUUAAAUUAACUUCUUGAUUAUUAGUUAAAUGUGAGA